CCUCCCAAUGUGCUGGGAUUACAGGCGUGAGCCACCACAUCCGACCCAGAGACAUACUUAAAGAGAUAGAUUAAAAAUAAAAAGAAAGAUAAACCAGGCAAAUGUGAACUGGGUUGCGAUCUUAUUAUCUGUCAAAGAGGAAUUUUAGUUUCAAAAGAUGAGAUGGAAAGUCAUUAUUUUUUCUUAAAAGGAACAAUAGACAAAUACAUAGAUACAACAGGCAAAACACACAGAUGCACCUAAUCAUACAGUCUUAAAAUAUACAGAACUCAACCUGGACAAACAUGGCGAAACUCUGUCACUACUAAAAAUAAAAAAUAAAAAAAUUAUCCAGGCGUGGUGGCAUACACCUGUAGUCCCAGCUACAGUCCCACCUGUUUCAAAAAAUAAACAUAACUGAGCCAGGUGCAGUGGCUCACACCUAUAAUCCCAGUGCUUUGGGAGGCUGAGGUGAGAGGAUAACUUAAGGCCAGGAGUUCAAGACAAGCACCAUAGCAAGACCACAUCUCUAUAAAAAAUAAAAUAAAAAUUUACCAGCAUGGUGGAACAAUUCUGUAGUCCUAGCUACUCAGGAGGCUGAGGUGAGAGGAUCGCUUGAGUGCAGGAGUUUGAGGCCAGAGUGAGCCAUGAUCAUGCCACUGUAUUCCAGCUACACACAAACAAACACACACACAAAACAACUGCAGAGAAAAAUCAAGAGAUGCUUAAUUAUAGCUGAAGACUUUAACAUCCCUCUCUCAGAAACUGAUAUAUCAAGGCUUGAAUAGUAUAAUUACCAUAUGUCAACAAUUCUACAUCGUAUAAGAGUAGACUCUAGGAGGGUUAAAAACAUAAUAAAUGUGAAAAACUAACAAAGAAAAAUAUGAGAUAAUUAUAGUUUGUGACUGAAAAGGAAAGGCAAAACUUCAAAUGCACAGACUGUAAGACAAUUUUUUUUGAGACAGGGUCUCACUUUGUCACCCAGACUGGAGUGCAGUGGCGCAAUCUCAGCUCACUGCAGCCUCAACCUCCUGGGCUCAAGCGAUCCUCUCACCUCAGCCCCCAAGUAGCUGGGACUACAGGUAUCAGCCACCAUGCUCGGCUAAUUUGUUGUGUUUAUUGUAGAGAUGGGGUUUCACCAUGUUGCCCAGGCUGGUCUCGAAUUCCUGAGCGCAAGCGAUCUGCCUGCCUUGGACUCCCAAAGUGCUAGGAUUACAGGUGUGAGCCACCACACCAGGCUAUAAGACAAAAAUAUUGAUGAAUAUAAUGACAUUAAAAUUAAGAAUUUCUGUUCAACAAAGAAGAUUGUUGAACAAAAUAACUAGAUAAAAGACAACAUGGCUGGGCGCGGUGGCUCACGCCUGUAAUCCCAGCACUUUGGGAUGCCGAGGCGGGUGGAUCACGAGGUCAGGAGAUCGAGACCAUCCUGGCUAACACGGUGAAAACCUGUCUCUACUAAAAAUACAAAAAAUUAGCUAGGCAUGAUGAAGGGCACCUAUAGUCCCAGCUACUCAGGAGGCUGAGACAGGAGAAUGGCAUGAACCCGGGAGGCGGAGCUUGCAGUGAGCCGAGAUCGUGCCACUGCACUCCAGCCUGGGCGACAGAGCCAGACUCUGUCUCAAAAAAAAAAAACAAAAAACACAACAUAACUAGAUAAGAGAAUGGGAGAAUAUGUUCAAAAUACGCAACACACAAAACUGGUAAAUAAAUAAGAGGGCAGCAAACCUUAGGAAAAAAUAAAAGCAAAACAUACAAAUAGUUGGCAUGAACAUUAUCACCAAAAAAAGAGAGAAAAAGAUAUAAACAGAGAGGAAUUCCAAAAAUCAAAAGGCAUAUGAAGAGAUGCCCAAAGUACCACAGAAAUGCUAAUUAAAUCAGCAACGUACUAUCCUUUUACAUCUACUAAGCUACAGAAAUUAGAAUGCUUGAUAAUGCCAGCUGGUGGAGUUGUGGGGAUGCUGGAACUCUGGUGGGUGUAUGGACUGGUACAGCCACUGUGGAUCACAAUCUGACAUGAAGUAUGCAAAUUCAGAACUCAUACACUCUAUGAGCUUGCAGUUAGACUCCUGGGAUAUAUCCCAAAGAAAUUCUUAUGCAGGCACAUAGGGGUUCUGCAUUAAAAUAUUUAUUGUGUGCUAUUUAUGGUCAUAGGGAUUCAAAGACAACCUGGUUAUCAUAUGGAGAGGAGAUAGCUAAAAUGUGGUAGAUGUUGUAUUGUAAAAUAUUAUGCAACAAUCAAAAGCAAUGGAUUAGAUGCAUACACAGCAAGAUGAAGGCAUUUUAAAACAGUGCUCAGUGAAAAAUAUGAAGAAAAAAUGCGAUUAAAACAUGAUGUUAUUUGCAGAAAUUAAAAAUGUAUUAAUACAAAACAAAAAUUCACUUUUUAUAAGAACAGAUACAAAUAAAAAUAACAGACACUUUAAAUAAAACUUAAUUAUCUAAGUGGGAAACAGAAAAGGAAUAAAAGAGAAAAAAAUGGACAAAUAGGUAGGGCACGGUGGUUCACCUGUGAAUCCCAGCACUUUGGGAGGCCAAGGCAGGUGGAUCACUUGAGCCGAGGAGUUUGAAACCAGCCUGAGCAACAUGGCGAAACCCCAUCUCUACUAAAAAUACAAAAAUUAGCUGGGCAUGGUGGUGUGCAGCUGUAGCUGUAGUCCCAGCUACUUGGGAGGCUGAGGUAGGAGGAUUGCCUUGAACCCAGGAGGUCGAAGCUGCAGGGAGCCAAGAUUGCACUACUACACUCCAGCUUGGAUGACAGAGUGAGAUCCUAUCUCAAAUAUAUAUAUAUAAAUAAAAUAAAAUAAAAUUUAGAAGUGACAUUGUCACCAACCAAAGAUGAUAAACUACCAUGUACUAAGUAGUGUGAUUAAUUAAAUCCUCAAAACUGGAAGG
rnacentral:lncRNA from 10 species